GGCAGCGGCAGCUUCCUCCCCGCCGCCGCCGCCGCCGAGGACGCGGCAGAGGACGGGAGCGGGCGGAGGUCGAGGCUGUUGGGCGUGCCGCCGAAGUAGCAGCACCGUGGCGCCUAGAGCCCUAGACACGCCUCGCUGCGGCAUCCCCGCCGCGCGCUGCCACCCCAGCUCCAGGCCUCAUCGAUGCUCAGCCACACCGCACCGUGCGGCCUUGCUGGAUGUGUCUCACUGCAGGACCGCGUCAGCCCUCACCUCCACCACCCGAACCUAGCUGCUUGCCUGCUCUCAACCGUGGUGGUUCUGGAUGAGGAUUAGAUUAGGAGAGAGAAGUGCACGGGGAGAGAACCAGUGGAAAAACUUCAUUGUCCAUAAUGCUAUGAACUCAGAUAUAUCCAAACGUAUCUUCUCCAGAUGCUAUGAACUCAGAUGUAUCCAGUCAUUCAGAUGCUAUGAACUCAGUUCUCCAUCUGAGUACUUUCUAUUGGUACUCUUAAAUUUCUUGUUUCUUACAUAUUUGGACCGGUGGUUUUCUCAUGAUGAUAUGGAUGGAUUGGAGCCUGAGUUUGAUUCUGCUUCUGCAUGAGCAAUAGGCUACCUUUGAUGCUUCGAUAGUAAAUCUGCAGUUUUGGGAGGCAUCGCCACAGAGAUAGGACUUGCAGCUGAAAUUGUCGGUGAUUGAUCAGGCUAUCCUAUCCCCACAUUAUUUGAUGAAUGUUCAUGCUGUAGUGUUCUCAUCUCACUAUCAAAUAGAUACUUACGAGAGGGGGUGGUCUCACUGAUUGCAGAUCUCUAGGUGAUACUUGUAUGGGCACAAAAGGAACCGGUCUCUUCAUAUACUCAAACCUACAACCUUGAACUCUCAACUCUCAUUGUGUUUGUUCAGUGUCUUCUACCUCAAAGUAGAUGAUGAUCGGGGUCGUUGUUGCAGGUCUUCUAAUAUUUUUGCAUGGGCUUGUCACGUGGAAUAUGUGUUGGGAGUACUUCUAACCUUAUCAAAUUUACAAAAUUCUAUGAAUCAUCAUACUUCUAUUGAGUUAAAAUUUGGAUACUUCUAAUCUACGUUACACGGAUACGUCAGGAUGGCCACGUAUCCCGUAUCGGAUACGUAUCCGAUACGGAUACGCUUGGGAUACGCGAUGGAUACGUAUCUGUGAAGUAUCGGGAAAAAAAUAAUUCCAAAAAAAAUCCGAUACUUCCUCUGAUACGUAUCCACACGAUUUGAUGAAUGACGGUGCGUAUCUGCCUUCCGCCACGGACGCUCGGCUGCAUGAGCACCGCCGCCUGAUGUGCCUCUGCCCACAUGUACGCACGAGGGCUGACAGCACCUCCCGUCUGGAAGCACACUGAGUGCCGCCGCCCGACGUGCGGCUUUCUGCCGGUACGCUCGAGCGCCGAUGGCGCAGCCUGCCUGACGCCUCCCUCCUGCCCGCCCGCCUGCCUCGGUGGCCGCGACAACCAAUGAACCAACACCAGCAGCACUUCCUGGUGGCGAUUCAGCGAAGACUUCCGGUGAUCUUCCCUUAAUUCUUUUCCUCCUCUCCUGAUCUAGUCACUCGGUGCUUUAUUUCUUCCUCAAUGGCAACCUCUGUUCUGUUCUUGUUGCCUGAUUUCUGUCUUCCCGGGGAAAGGGGUGAGAACUGGGGAAGCAGGGAUACAGACUGAGCGGUGGUGAGCUGUGCUGAUUUUUUUAUUGUUUGUUGCGUUGGUGGGGUGAGUGGUGGAGAUGGAAAGCUGCGUCAGUGCUUCUGUUGUACUAAGCCACUAGUCUAGAAGCAGUUUAAUAAUCAUAGAUGUGGCUUCAUUGAGCGUUUGAUUGGCUUCUACUAAUUUUAACAUGCUUUAUUACUUUUUAAAAAAAAACAUAAAACGUAUCCGCGUAUCAAGUUUUUUAGAAAAAUGGCGUAUCUCCGUAUCCGUAUCCGUCCGAUACCGAUACACGUAUCCGUAUCCGUGCUGCAUAGCUUCUAAUUUCAUCUGCAGUGGUAGAAGGUACUGGACAUGUUUGGGACUUGGGAGAUUCAAGCAGAGAUGGGUAGAACUACAGCACUACAGCUUUCAUUUAAUCAAACUUGUUUCUGCUUUAUCAUGCUAUGCUUUGACCGAAGCUUUAAUUCUUGUGUUGCUGGCAUUUCUGUGUUUCUCAGAUAAAUUAGCUGAAGUAGUAAUUGGUAGUCCAACAGUCAAAAUGUUUGGUUUGGGAUUUCUAUCUGUGGAUGUUUUGUCUGGCUUUAUAUGUUUUUGUGCUCGCUUUUACAUGUGGUUGCAGGAUGAGUUUGGCAAUUAGAAGUUCCUGUAGCAAAGAACUGAAAUUUGAAACUGGGGGCAGGUCAGAGUCUAGAGCACGAUCAUUCCGGUUUUGUUAGUUUCAUCACUUGUUCUCAGUGAUUUCAGAUCUGAAUGGUUGGAUAACAUUCUGACUCUCCAUGGAUAUCGCUGAUA